UUCUCCUACGGGAGGCAGCAGUGAGGAAUAUUGGUCAAUGGGCGGGAGCCUGAACCAGCCAAGUCGCGUGAAGGAAGAAGGUACUUAGUAUUGUAAACUUCUUUUGUCGGGGAACAAAGGCGGAGACGCGUCUCCGGAUGAGUGUACCCGAAGAAAAAGCAUCGGCUAACUCCGUGCCAGCAGCCGCGGUAAUACGGAGGAUGCGAGCGUUAUCCGGAUUUAUUGGGUUUAAAGGGUGCGUAGGCGGUUUGAUAAGUUAGAGGUGAAAU
rnacentral:rRNA from 1 species